AUUGAACGCUGGCGGCAGGCCUAACACAUGCAAGUCGAACGGUAACAGGAAAAAGCUUGCUGUUUCGCUGACGAGUGGCGGACGGGUGAGUAAUGUCUGGGAAACUGCCUGAUGGAGGGGGAUAACUACUGGAAACGGUAGCUAAUACCGCAUAACGUCGCAAGACCAAAGAGGGGGACCUUAGGGCCUCUUGCCAUCGGAUGUGCCCAGAUGGGAUUAGCUAGUAGGUGGGGUAACGGCUCACCUAGGCAACGAUCCCUAGCUGGUCUGAGAGGAUGACCAGCCACACUGGAACUGAGACACGGUCCAGACUCCUACGGGAGGCAGCAGUGGGGAAUAUUGCACAAUGGGCGCAAGCCUGAUGCAGCCAUGCCGCGUGUAUGAAGAAGGCCUUCGGGUUGUAAAGUACUUUCAGCGGGGAGGAAGGAAGUAAAGUUAAUACCUUUACUCAUUGACGUUACCCGCAGAAGAAGCACCGGCUAACUCCGUG
rnacentral:rRNA from 1 species